AGCGGCGCGGGUACCUGUGGCAGCGGUACCGGCCGCUGACGUUCGUGGUGUGGGUGGGCGCGUUCGCGGCCCGCUUCGGAGUACGGGCGCUGCUG
rnacentral:tRNA from 1 species